GCGACGACGGGUAGCCGGCCUGAGAGGGCGACCGGCCACACUGGGACUGAGACACGGCCCAGACUCCUACGGGAGGCAGCAGUGGGGAAUAUUGCACAAUGGGCGAAAGCCUGAUGCAGCGACGCCGCGUGAGGGAUGACGGCCUUCGGGUUGUAAACCUCUUUCAGCAGGGAAGAAGCGCAAGUGACGGUACCUGCAGAAGAAGCACCGGCUAACUACGUGCCAGCAGCCGCGGUAAUACGUAGGGUGCGAGCGUUGUCCGGAAUUAUUGGGCGUAAAGAGCUCGUAGGCGGCCUGUCGCGUCGGAUGUGAAAGCCCGGGGCUUAACCCCGGGUCUGCAUUCGAUACGGGCAGGCUAGAGUGUGGUAGGGGAGAUCGGAAUUCCUGGUGUAGCGGUGAAAUGCGCAGAUAUCAGGAGGAACACCGGUGGCGAAGGCGGAUCUCUGGGCCAUUACUGACGCUGAGGAGCGAAAGCGUGGGGAGCGAACAGGAUUAGAUACCCUGGUAGUCCACGCCGUAAACGUUGGGAACUAGGUGUUGGCGACAUUCCACGUCGUCGGUGCCGCAGCUAACGCAUUAAGUUCCCCGCC
rnacentral:rRNA from 1 species